rnacentral:lncRNA from 1 species
AUACAAGACCUUUUAGAGAUUGUACUAUGAACUACAUAUGAAUGUACAUAGACACAUUUCAGAGCAUAAAUUCAUUCAUUUUGCUCCGUAUGUAGUCUCCUAGUAAAAUCUCUAAAAGGUCUUAUAUUUUGAAACGGAGGGAGUACUUCUUAGCAACUUAUUACUAUAUACUCCCUCCGUCCGGAAUUACUUGUCGCAUAAAUGUAUGAAAAUGGAUGUAUCUAGAACUAAAACACAUCUAGGUACUGUUAGGAAUAAGCAACUUGUAUUCCCAUGAGGCCAUAGGCCAGUAUA